rnacentral:lncRNA from 1 species
AUUUUGCUUGGUAAAACCAAUCCCUCCAGAGGUGCCAAAGAUUCCAUCUUCAACCUUUGGCUUUGGUUUAGGUGCAGCCUUAAAAAGUACAAAAAUUGAGUAUAGAUUAAAGUUCAAGUUCAACUUAAACACUCAUUAUAAAAAAAAAAAAGAAACACCCCCAGAAGAAAAUAUAAAAGAAAUUACCUUCUUAGGAGCUGCUUUGGUCUUUGGUUUGAAGAGUGCAAAAGUGGUGAAAGCUUUAGAUGAUGAAGCAGCAACAGUGUUAGAGUGUGGAUUGAAUAAGAAAUGAGAGGAGGGUUUAGGCUUUAACCCUUGAGCUUGAAAAUGGAGUAAAGGGUGAUCUCUCUUCAAGUUCACAACAUGGCUGGUUGAAACGCUGGUACUUGACAUUACCAGCAUUGUUUGAGCCAUUGAUUAAAAUUUCUGAGAUAUGUU